rnacentral:lncRNA from 1 species
GGACUCAGCGGUUUCCUGGGCAACCGGCCUCCUCCGGCGCGGCCCGCGCGGCUCCAGGUGGCGGGAGGCGGCGGUUGGCGGGAAGGGCCGCGCGGGCCCGGGGGCGGCGCCUCAGAUGCGCUCUUUCCAGAAAGGCAGCACACGCAUGUCUCUGCCGUGGCCCCAGAUCCUCCCCGCGCCGCCGUUUUGAGCGUUCACACUCAUUACCCAGGUCCGUCUGGGAGACCCGCCGGGCUCCCGCCCUCCCGGCCCGCAGCCUCCUGGCCAAAAUCCUCCCGGGACACCCCACCUGGACUGCUGCGAACGGGCCUCCACCCGCCUCCCCGGACCCGCAGCGCCCCCCGCUCCCUCAGGGUUCUGGGGUGAAGGGGUCUGAAUAGCACCAGGGGAGGCGGCAGGGCGGGCCUGUCCUACCUGCGCCCGAGCACUGCUGAGACGACAUCCCUUCCAGCGCCGCCACGUAGUCCAGCCCCAGCCAGCCGCGGUCCUGGAAGCACCGCAGGCAGACGACCUGCUCCUCACUGGGCUCAGGCAGGGUCACCCGCCCAGUGCCGCUAGCUGCAAAUUGCUUUACAUACAGUGACCCAAAGAGCAAGUCAUUUCAGGGCCCCACCACUCUGAUUGGAAGUCAUAAGCUUGACAACUGAUUGGCCUCUGUCACCCAAGCGGGUGUGGGGACACUAGGCCCGCAGGUGCCACUGGAAGAGGCGUUCAGAAGCACUGCGGUGCUCCAGCUCCUGGAUGCAGAUAUCUCCCCACAAACCUAAACAAUUUCGAGAGGGACUUGUGUUCUGCAACCAGUCACAGAAUAUCAGGUGAGCUGGGCGUGUCUUCACUGACCCACCCGCCCAGGGAUGCUGCACUCCUCUCCACCCUGCUCAGAAUCACUAGAAUGACCGUUCUGUGGCUACAGCCCUAAAAGAGCUACUAAAAAGACCAGAAGUAGUAUGAGAACUUAUGAAUACGAAUAUAAAUAAAGGACAUCUGGAGAACAUGCAUGAAUGUCUAUGUAAAGUGUUAAGUACUGAUCAAGGAGGAACGAAGGAGUCAGGUGGCUCUCAGUCUUUUUGGAGGGACUCGCAGAUCCUCCUGAAGAUCUGAUGAAAGCUGUCAGCCUUCUCCCCAGAAAAAUGCACAUCCACCCAGGAUUCUUCUCCCACAUUACUUCAGAGGACUUAGCAACCCCCUAGGGAAGCCCAGGGACCCAGAGUAAAGCACUCCUGGGAUAGAGGGGUUCUGUGGGGAAGAUGACAGGAAGGAACAUGCGUCAGUUCACAAUGUCAAAGUUUAGGAACAGGCCUGGCGAGCCAGCCAGCUCUGCAGUUCUGUGGUGCUGGUGGGUGUGGAGAAGGCAAUUUCAGCAUAAGUCGGGGGAGGGGGAGUGGUUAGAAACCAGUGGCUCCAUUGUGAGACAACCUGGGUUUAAAUUCUAGGUAUAUUUUGAAAGCACAACCAAUGGGAUCUGCUGAUAGAUUGGCUGUAGAGCACGAGAGGAAGACCGGAGUCAAAAAUGACUCCCGAGGAAAUGGAAAAGCUAAAGUUGCUCUUAAUUGAAGUGGGGAAGACUGAAGGAGGGACGGGGGUCCAACUUUGGACUUGAUCCAUUUGAGAUGACUGUUAGAAACACAAGUCAAAAUGUCAAGUAUGUAGUUAAAUAUGCAAGUUUGGGACUGAUGUCUGAAGAUGUAAAUUUAGAAGCCAUCUGUAUAUAGAUGGUAUUUGAUGACAUGGGAUUGGAUGAGAUCAAGGGUAAGCUGUAGACAGGGAAGAGGGCUGAGAACUGAAUCCUAGGGCUAACAGGUCAGGGAGAUGGGGAGGAAAUCAGCAGAGAAGACUGAGGAGUGGCCAGAGAGUGAGAGGACAGCCAGGCAGGGCUGAGGACCUGGGCAUCUGCAGGGGAAGGUGUUUCCAGGAGGAGGGAGAGCUGUGGCCAGUGCCACUGAGAGGUCAAGUAAAAUGAAGACUGAGAAAUGGCCACUGGGUUUAGCAACAUGGGUCACUGUGACCUUGACAAGAACAGCUUCAGGGCCCUGGUGGGAGCCUGUCUGGGGUAGUCUCCAUCCUUAAGAGGGGCCAGAGGAGAGGACUUGCUAACUCAGUCUCCAUCCUUAAGAGAGGCCAGAGGAGAGGACUUGUUAACUCCAGAGCAGACCACUCUUUGGAGGAGUUUUGCUUCGAAAGGGAGC